rnacentral:rRNA from 1 species
UACGUAGGGGGCAAGCGUUGUUCGGAAUCACUGGGCGUAAAGGGCGCGUAGGCGGAUCUUUAAGUCGGGGGUGAAAGCCCAGGGCUCAACCCUGGAAUUGCCUUCGAUACUGAAGAUCUCGAGACCGGAAGAGGUAAGUGGAACUGCGAGUGUAGAGGUGAAAUUCGUAGAUAUCGGGAGGAACACCAAUGGCGAAGGCAGCUCGCUGGGACGGUACUGACGCUGAGACGCGAAAGCGUGGGGAGCAAACAGG